rnacentral:pre_miRNA from 1 species
UUUCUACUCCCUCUGUCCGAAAAUACUUGUCAUCAAAAUGGAUAAAAAGAGAUGUAUCUAAAACUAAAAUACGUCUAGAUACAUUUCCUUUUAUCCAUUUUGAUGACAAGUAUUUCCGGAUGGAGGGAGUAUUUG